ensembl:lncRNA
ACCUUGGCUUCAACAGAGGAGUCAACCGGAAAGAGUUACCCAAAACGCAGUGCAACAGUUGGUCCCACAAUCUCAGUCAGAGCCUGAGGACAAAUGUCAAAUAAGUUCUCAAGCACCACCACAGCAUAUAAUAGCUGUUUGUUCACCUGUGGCUCAGGGACCUGCUCAAGGCACAGCACAGUCAAAAAUCAUUGGUAAGAGUGAUGAGAAUCACCUGAAGCCAGCUCAGUCUGUUGCACAAGAGAAACCUCUUGUAGAAACACAAAACACACCUCAAACUGUGCCAGCAGUUUCAGCACAACCAGUGACUCAAAAACAACCACAAAAGCCAGUGACUGUUCCGAUUCAUCAACAAGUAUUUCCCAAACCUCAACCCUCUUUAUCAACUCAAGCUCAAACAACUACACAACAAACACUAGCUACUGCACCCAUUAAGCAACAAAAGCAACUUCAAACACAGAUAGUGACACCACAGCAACCUCAAGUGAUGAUCCAGAAACAGGCACAAUCUCAAUCCAUGACUCCAAUGCAACCCCAGGUUAUGGCCCAAUGGCAGCCACAACAGACAAUUGCUCAGCCUCGUCCUGCAGUGCCACAACCACAAAUAUUUCCAGUGGCCCAAACAAUGCCUCAAAGGCCAGUCCAACAAUACCCAACAUCUCCCAUUCAACCACAAAUAACAAUGCAGAGACAACAGUCUCAGUCCCAGCAAACCACAAUGCGCAAUCCGACUGUUAUUACCCCUCAACCCAAAGGUGCAUCCCCCAUACAACCCAGAAUCAUCUCUAUGCCUCGACCCCAGAUGCCUAUUCAAUCUCAAACUCAGGUCAAAGCACAGGGAAGUGUACCACAUGUGAUUCAACCUCAGGGGCAACCCCAGUGGAGUCAACCAGGAGAUGUCACCCAAACGUACCCCAGAGUGCAAGGACCAGUUUCUGUAGCUGCCCAAAUGCAGCCACUGGCCCAUUUCCAAACUCAUCCCCAACCUCCAAGUAUCCCUCCAACUCAGCUUCAGCAGUGGUCACCAAUAAGACCAGGCUUAGUGAGCCAGACAUACCCAACUGUCCAAGUUCCAGGUCAGGUAGUUCAAUCUCAGCCUCAAAUGGCAGUUUACCCUAAAAUCCAGCCGCAAUCACAGCCUCAGCAGUGGUCCUCUGCUAGACCUGAAUUACCUUGGGGUCAGUCACAGAUAAGACCUCAAGGUCCAGCUCAGCAUAUAGUUCCCUCUCAGCAAUGGAGGUCUAUCAGUCCAGAAAGAGUCAGUCCAGUAUACCCAAGGGCUGAAACCCAAGGGCCCAAGGGACCACAUCCUCAGACCCAAUAUCAAGCUCUUCCAAGGCCAGCAAGCCCUCAACGUCAGUGGAGACCAGUCCGGCCAGAACAUCAGUUUCAAGUUUCUUCCCAGACUAUGUUCCAUGGUGCUCCCCAGCCAGUAGCUCCAUGGAAUCAACCACCUUCUCAAGCUCUCAUAAGAUCUCAGAGUCCACAACAGCCUCAGCAAAGUCAGCAAAAGUGGAGUUCAUCCAAGACAGAGGCCCCAUCUGCAACCCUCAUCCAAAGCCAAGUUGCCCAGGCAGAGCUUCAGUCCCAAGAUCUGACAAAGCUGCAGUUACCAGUACAGGAACCACCCCAACAGCAGUCAGUUCCUCGGGUUAAGCAACCAGCACUUGCCCAGGCUCCCCCUCAAGCCUACACUGAAGCUUAUAUAAAGGCACAGGCCCUGGUUAGGGAUAGAUUUGAAGAAGCCAAGCACUGUCUUCAAGAGCACAUUAUAGAAGCUAUCAGUGUAUUCAAGGACAAGAGAAUAAUGGACGAACAGGCAUCAGUUAAGGAGGAGACCCUUCGGACUCUUGACCCUGAACUUCUUGAAGAGUUCUUGAGGGCUGCGGAAGGAAUGGAAGCUUUCUGCACCCCAUCUG